CGGAGGGAUCAUUACUGAGUUUACGCUCUAUAACCCUUUGUGAACAUACCUAUAACUGUUGCUUCGGCGGGUAGGGUCUCCGUGACCCUCCCGGCCUCCCGCCCCCGGGCGGGUCGGCGCCCGCCGGAGGAUAACCAAACUCUGAUUUAACGACGUUUCUUCUGAGUGGUACAAGCAAAUAAUCAAAACUUUUAACAACGGAUCUCUUGGUUCUGGCAUCGAUGAAGAACGCAGCGAAAUGCGAUAAGUAAUGUGAAUUGCAGAAUUCAGUGAAUCAUCGAAUCUUUGAACGCACAUUGCGCCCGCCAGCAUUCUGGCGGGCAUGCCUGUUCGAGCGUCAUUUCAACCCUCAAGCUCUGCUUGGUGUUGGGGCCCUACAGCUGAUGUAGGCCCUCAAAGGUAGUGGCGGACCCUCCCGGAGCCUCCUUUGCGUAGUAACUUUACGUCUCGCACUGGGAUCCGGAGGGACUCUUGCCGUAAAACCCCCAAUUUUCCAAAGGUUGACCUCGGAUCAGGUAGGAAUACCCGCUGAACUUAAGCAUAUCAAUAAGCGGAGGAAAAGAAACCAACAGGGAUUGCCUCAGUAACGGCGAGUGAAGCGGCAACAGCUCAAAUUUGAAAUCUGGCCCUAGGCCCGAGUUGUAAU
rnacentral:rRNA from 1 species